CUCCCUCACUUCCGUUUUUCCCUCUCCUUCUCCCUCUCGCCCUUUCCACAUCCCCCUCACAAAAACCAUAACCCUAAAUUCCAAAAUCCCCCAUCCUAAUAUCACUUAUGAUCUUAUUUCCAUCCUCUCUCUGAUGCUACCCUAAAUCCUUGGACUACCACUUCGUUUACAAGGACGUCGAGCGAGGAAGCUAGCACGUAGUGGUGGACUACCACUCCUGCUCUUUCUACUCCUAUUCCUCCCUCGAUAGCGAACCUUGGCAGCAGCUAGCAACGAUGGGUUCUGCUCGCUUCCUCAAUCCAUCAUGGAGUUGAGCUCAAGGCCUCUCUACUAAAAAGUCACCAACUGAACCCUCUCGCCUUCCCACCUCCAAGAUUUGCCUGGCUUCACGCAUAGUGUGUACAAAAGAGAUCAUGCUGUGAUAAAACCAGAAAGCCAUGUGUUCAGUCCUUUACCCAUUGCCAAAGAUGGAAGGUAAGCAAAUAUGAUACUCAAGCUUAUCUGUUCUUGGUUUGUGUUUAAUUUGUCCCAUACUCCUUUUUUUUCUUUUAGUUUUUUGUAAUUUUUUUUUUUAAUGAGAGAUUGGAACCACAUCACCUUUUGUUGGAGGCCAUCAGGAGAUCGGAGCUGGAGAAGGAAGUCUCAUAACGGUUUUAUUUGAUAAAAAAAUUUUAUUUUAUUAUAUCUUGAUGUUAUUAUAUUUUAUUACUCAUGCAU